AUCGAACGCUGGCGGCAGGCCUAACACAUGCAAGUCGAACGAGUGGCGGACGGGUGAGUAAUGUCUGGGAAACUGCCUGAUGGAGGGGGAUAACUACUGGAAACGGUAGCUAAUACCGCAUACCAGCAGAUCUGCCCAUAGGGGAUUAGCUUGUUGGUGGGGUAACGGCUCACCAAGUCGACGACCCCUAGCUGGUCUGAGAGGAUGACCAGCCUCCGUGGAACUGGGACACGAACCGCACUCUUACGGAGGACAGCAGUGGGGAAUAUUGCACAAUGGACGCAAUCCUGAUGCAGCCAUACCGCGUGUAUGAGGAAGGCAUUCGGGUUGUGAAGUACUUUCAGCGAGGAGGCGUGACCCACAGAAGAAGCACCGGCUAACGCCGUGCCAGCAGCCGCGGUAAUAC
rnacentral:rRNA from 1 species